UUUUUGGGGAUAUUCAAAUGAGAACCUAAUCCUCUUUGGCAUGGUGAUUAAUAACUACUACCCCAUUUUAACACCACCCAAAAAUAUUAAUGGUGGAUAAAUUGGUGAAAAUUUUAGUUUUAUAGGCAUAGUUGAUUGGAAGCAAAAAUGGGUUAGAUGAAAAAUUGGUGCAUUCGUCAGAUCAAUGAUUAACAAUUUGUAAAAGUAUUGCAUGUUCAAGAGCAUGAUCAUUAAUUUCAUGAGUUCAUCUUCUGGUUAGUGUCCAUAAGAGUAGAUAACAGUGAACAAACUUACCUUCUAGUGGUCACUUUAAUUUGGACAUACCUUUCUACCUUUCAACUUUUGAGCUGUAAAUAUGCCUCUCUCUCCUUUCCGCCAAAGGGAACUGAAUUUCACUAGUUCCAUUUCUUUCUAAGUUUUUCGACUGUAGAGAAGUGAAUAGUCUCAAAAUUAAUUGGGCUCCCAUGUACCAUGAUUGUAUUCCAAUGCUCAAGACAUGCAGUUGGAACUGAUAAUACUCUCCAUAGUCUUCAACUAAAUCUUUCUCCAGAAUCUCGUACGGAUUUUUCUUUGAUCCAGGUAUGUUAAGGCUAUCCCUUAUUUCUUUUUGGCAUGAUCUAUACGAUACAAACGGAACGAGUAAAUACACAACUUCUAUAAAUGACUCUAUUCAUAGAAAUAGUAGAGGUUCCUAUGUUCUUAAUUUCCCAUAUGUCUUAUUAUUCUAUCGUUUGUUCAUAGGUCUUAGAAAAAUACGUAAGUUGGUAAAGUUUAUUUCAUGAUAUUAAUCAGAGACAUAAUGGUCUUAUGACGUACCAAGAGAUUUUAUUAAUGUAUCUCAUAUGCAUUUCAUGUAUUUAUACAUGUACAUUGACCCAUGACAAGAUGACGUUAUAUACGCGUAUAUAUAUAUAUGGGAUAUGGGAUAUGGGAAAGAUUAUGAUGUUAUAUACACGCCACCACCUGAUCAGCUGGUAUACGUUGAUGAUAUUGCCCACAGUGGCUGAGAUGAUAUGAUGGGAUGCCCUCAGAGGCUUGAUGAUGUUAUGUACACACAGACCUAUGCAUUACAUGAAGUUUAUAUGCAUAUGCAUGACAUUAUAAAUAUUUCAUUAUUUACAGAGCUAUCCAGACUUACAGGUUGAGUCCUUUACUCCAUGUUUCUUCCAUGUUCUUUAUAUACUGAUUUACAUGCCUUACAUACUCAGUACAUUAUUCAUAUUGACGUCCUUUUGUUGGGGGUGUUGUAUUCAUGCCUGCAGGUAUAGAUAAUCAGUUUGACGAGCCCUUACAAUAGACGAGAUUGGCUUCAGCGAAGGAUCGGUAAGACUCCACUUCAUCCGGAGUACAACCGAAUCUAUGAGUCACCAUGUCAGAAGUUUUCUACAGACUUAUGGGUAGACCGGUUCCCAGUCCCAUUUGAUGUCAAAUAAUCUUAGAGGGUUUGUAGGCAAAUGUUUAGUUUGUACAGUAUGUCAGAGGCCUUAACGGCUCAUAUGUAUUCAUGUUUUUAAGAACAAUAGUUUAUUGAUACAGUGUUUCUCACUUAUAGUUCUACAUUAUGAGUUGUGGCCAUGUGGG
rnacentral:lncRNA from 1 species